CAGCAGCCGCGGUAAUACGUAGUGUGCGAGCGUUAAUCGGAAUUACUGGGCGUAAAGCGUGCGCAGGCGGUUUUGUAAGACAGAUGUGAAAUCCCCGGGCUUAACCUGGGAACUGCAUUUGUGACUGCAAGGCUAGAGUAUGGCAGAGGGGGGUAGAAUUCCACGUGUAGCAGUGAAAUGCGUAGAGAUGUGGAGGAAUACCGAUGGCGAAGGCAGCCCCCUGGGCCAAUACUGACGCUCAUGCACGAAAGCGUGGGGAGCAAACAGGAUUAGAUACCCUGGUAGUCCACGCCCUAAACGAUGUCAACUAGUUGUUGGGGAUUCAUUUCCUUAGUAACGUAGCUAACGCGUGAAGUUGACCGCCUGGGGAGUACGGUCGCAAGAUUAAAACUCAAAGGAAUUGAC
rnacentral:rRNA from 1 species